rnacentral:rRNA from 1 species
UACGUAGGGUCCGAGCGUUGUCCGGAAUUAUUGGGCGUAAAGAGCUCGUAGGCGGUUUGUCGCGUCUGCUGUGAAAUCCCGAGGCUCAACCUCGGGCCUGCAGUGGGUACGGGCAGACUGGAGUGCGGCAGGGGAGACUGGAAUUCCUGGUGUAGCGGUGAAAUGCGCAGAUAUCGGGAGGAACACCAGUGGCGAAGGCGACUACCUGGCCUGUUUCUUGACGCUGAG